AAUUAACUUAAAAACAGAUCCGAACCGAUCUACAGGGAAAUUGCCCAUUUCUUCAACUUAUCCUAUACAGAUAAAACUCAGCUGCUUGUAUUCUACUGCCCUGAGCCAUGGGGUGAGCCUAGGGAGGUCAUCACUGAAGAACGGAUUGCCUGUUGAACUUCACACUUCCUGCUGAGGCCUGAUUAGCAGCCCGGUUGCUUCCAAAGUUCUUGCGGUUUGAU
rnacentral:misc_RNA from 1 species